ensembl:ncRNA lncRNA:CR45636 long non-coding RNA:CR45636
AUAAUUACACAGUCUCAAGUAGCUAAUCAUCCAAGAAGCCCUACUCGGCUCAGAACCAAACCCACACCAAAGUCAACCGCAACAAAGUCCGGGGCCAGAGCUCUUGGUCAAAUGCCAGACAAACAAAGGACGCCUCCAAUCAAUGCUAAUAGCAAUCGUCCUGCAAUAUCCUCAAAGUGCUUAGAAAACCGAAUACCAAGAACCACACAUACAUUCAAAGUGGCCG